UACGUAGGGGGGCUAGCGUUGUCCGGAAUCAUUGGGCGUAAAGCGCGUGUAGGCGGCCCGAUAAGUCCGCUGUGAAAGUCCAGGGCUCAACCCUGGGAUGCCGGUGGAUACUGUCGGGCUCGAGUCCGGAAGAGGCGAGUGGAACUCCUGGUGUAGCGGUGAAUGCGCAGAUAUCAGGAGAACACCCGUAGGCGAAGGCGG
rnacentral:rRNA from 1 species